rnacentral:rRNA from 1 species
UCGCCUGUUUAUCAAAAACAUGGCCUCCUGGUUUUAAAAUAUAGGGGGUUUGGCCUGCCCGGUGGGAAGUUCCUAAACGGUCGCAGCUACCACUGUGCGAAGGUAGCGUAAUAGGUCGUCCUUUAAUUGAGGGAAAGUAUGAAUGGUCGGAUGUUGGGAAGACUUUUUUAGAAGUAUGUGUUGAAUUUUACUUUUUUGUGCAAAGGCAAAAAUUGUAUUAUUAGACGAGAAGACCCUGUUGAGCUUGGUAAGCUUAUUCUUAAGUCAAGUCUGAGUUAUGUUUUUUCGGGGCUGAAAGGAAGGGAUGUGAAUGCCUUCUAUUGUUAGUACUGAUCCAGUACGACUGAAAAGUGGAAGAUAGCUACCACAGGGAUAACAGCGCAAUCAUCCUGAUAAGGCCAAAUUUAAGGGGUGGAUUGCGACCUCGAUGUUGAAUCAGAAUUUCUAUUAGGUGUAGCAGCUUUAUAAGUGGGACUGUUCGUCCUUUAAAAUUCUACGUGAUCUGAGUUCAGACCGGA